UACAGAGGUCUCAACCGUUGUUCGGAUUCAUUGGGCGUAAAGGGCGCGUAGGCGGCAAGGCAAGUCGGGUGUGAAAGCUUGGGGCUUAACCCCGAAAGGGCACUCGAACUGCGUGCUAGAGGGCCGGAGAGGAGAUCGGAAUUCACGGUGUAGCAGUGAAAUGCGUAGAGCUCGUGAGGAAGACCGGUGGCGAAGGCGGAUCU
rnacentral:rRNA from 1 species